UAGUCGUAGUUUGUUUCAGGUGUGUCCUGCACGGAGGAGAUGAUUGGUGUGGGAGGCUCCGGUCCUGGACUCUGAUUGGCCGCGGCUGACGGAAGACGCCUAUAAAACGAUCCAAGAUGGCGGCCGGGGCUGGCGGCAGGUUUACUCUCAUCUCCCUCUGCUCCCAACCAGCCACAACGUGGACUGCCAUUUUUGUUCCCAGCUUUUCUCCUGUUUAUUUAGUUAGGGAGCUCCGCGGUGCUGCACCAGUCGUCCUCCAGCAGAGGGAGCAGUUUGCUGCAGAGUAGUGAAAGACGAGGAGACGCAGGAGGGAGGAAGAUGAAAUGACAGCGGCGUGUCUCAGGGAGAAGGACACGGGAGUGGGAGGAGGAGGAGGAGGAGGAUAAAGGUCGGGAGGAAACGAGGGAGAGCUCCUUCACACCUCGUCACGCUGAGUAAAAAUGUCUCUCCAGGUGCGACUGAAGGUCAUGGACACACGCAAACAGGAAGGUCGAGGGAGAUUCUCCUUCUCUGUCAUUUAUCAGACGACUAGAUGUCAGCGAGAUUAUUAUUAUUAUUAUUAUUUAUUAUUAUUAUUUUUUAAUUUGUUCCCUUCCCACGGCCUGAGGUCUGUGGACAGAGCAGCGAAGUGAAGGCUCCACCUGGUGAUAUCAAACAUUAUGCAACACAUUUAACUGUGAUUGUUACAGGGAUAAAGCACAUUAGGGAAUACACGCUCUUGUGCUUCAUGAAGCAUACCGUAAAUCUAUUUUAGUAUCUCUUAGGCUGGUUGUUUCAUCAGAGAGUUUAUAGGAGCAGUUAGGACGGCGAGAAUAAAAAGCAAUAAAAAUUUUGUUAGUAGA